AAUGUUUAAAUGAGUGACAGCUUUAUACAAAUUGACUUACAUUAUAACAUGCACGGAUAAUCGUGUUUUCUCAACUGACAAUUCACUUGACAUUGACAAGCAUCGCGUACGCGCAUGAUUCAGUGAAUUUAGUGAAAAUACAAACCAAGUCGAAGAAAAAUACUGAUUUGCUGUGUAAACUAAAGGAAAUGCCACCCAAAAUUCGAUGCUUCGGCGCACAAGAAAAUGCUAGCCAAAUAUAUAACUCAGCAUCCCCUGUUCGCCUACACCUACAGGGAGAUUCAUGAGCCUCUCGGAACCCAGAGAUACAAAAUGCAAUGCUGCACAGUGCACACAAGUUCUAAGAUCUAGAAGAAAGGAUUGAAGAUUCAUAACAUAUUGGAGGCUUGAAAGUGCACAUACCCAUAGAUUGGACGUUAAGCUCAACGAGACCAUGCGAUGCAUCUCAGGCACUAUCCGAUCUACAACCGCCACUGGCUGCCGGCAUUGAGUCACAUUGCCCCUCCUCACAUCCGACGACUCAAGGCGUUGAAGAGGGAGGCUGAGAAUAUCACGA